rnacentral:rRNA from 1 species
UACGGAGGGGGGCUAGCGUUGUUCGGAAUUACUGGGCGUAAAGCGCACGUAGGCGGCUUUGCAAGUCAGAGGUGAAAGCCCGGGGCUCAACCCCGGAAUUGCCCUUGAGACUGCAUCGCUAGAAUUGUGGAGAGGUAAGUGGAAUUCCGAGUGUAGAGGUGAAAUUCGUAGAUAUUCGGAAGAACACCAGUGGCGAAGGCGACUUACUGGACACAUAUUGACGCUGAGGUGCGAAAGCGUGGGGAGCAAACAGG